GGAGGGGUGUCGGAGUGGUUGAACGAGCCCGCCUCGAAAGCGGGUAGGCGCGCAAGCGCCUCGUGGGUUCGAAUCCCACCCCCUCCGCCA
rnacentral:tRNA from 2 species